rnacentral:snRNA from 1 species
UGAGCUCAACGAGAACAGA